rnacentral:lncRNA from 1 species
ACCGUCUGGUCUGAUAUAGGCGCAGGCAGGUGAACAUUUUGAUUAUUGAGAACACAGAAAUGUCAGCACACAGCUGAGUCUUAAACACUCGUCGUAGCGAAUUUCUCCUUGCACAAGCAGCACGAGCACAAGCAAAUCAAGUCAGCACACACGCACGCACAUAUAAGCUUCUUUCAGAAGAAGCUUAUAACCAGUACUAAUUUUACAUCACAGCGGGCUUCAGUAGCAGGCUGGCAGUUGGAAUAGAAGCAGCCUGACACCUCAUGGCGACCAAACAAAGCGAACUAAACACUGAACAGCUACCAUAAUCCAAAUUAUAGAUUUUCACCUAGCAAUCUAGAGUUCCAUCUCAGGUCGCGUGCUUGUCGUCCUUGAGAUGGCGCACCUUCUCCUUCUCCUUCCACCUAGCAAUUUUUGUUGUUUUUAAACUAUAUGAAAGCACUCAACAGAAAUAAAUGACUCUCUAAAACUUUCGGGUUGUCUCUCUGGCAGCGCUUUCUUUAAAGCCAUUAAGCUAGGCAUAUAGUGCUUAAAUAAUGGAUCCACCCGGAUCCCAAGGUAUAUCAAAGCCAAUUUUAAUUAGCAAUGAUUUGUAAUUUAGCAGUGAGCACAAAGUAACAUAUAUCAUGCAACAACGAAGUCUAACUCUCUUCCUAUGCAUCGACAUGUCAUAAAAGAACAAUUCAUGUACACAUAGUAAAGGCCAAUGCAUAGUAUAAACAAUUUCUUGCAAUUUUAUUGUAUUGGAAAUAUAGAGAGGUGGAGAUAUAGUUCCUCUCUCAUAAUAAUUGCAAGUAGGAGCAGCAAGCACAUGCAUAUUAUACUCAUCAAAAUCAUCAUGUGUAGUAGUAAAAGACAACCCAUCAAUAUAAUCCUUAUAAGGGCAAACUUCUCCGAUAUAGUGUAGUUGGGAGAAUUCAAAAAGAUAAUAGGACUAUCAUGCGUGGGUGCAAUAGCAACAAUUUCAUGUUUAACAUAAGGAACUAUAGCAAGUUCAUCUCCAUAAGCAUAAUUCAUAUUGGCAUCCUGGCCACAAGCAUAGCUAGCAUCAUCAAAAAGGGAUAUUUCCAGAGAAUCAACGGGAUCAUAACAAUCACCAUAGCAAUCAUCCUUCGGUAAGCACGAAGGGAAAUUAAACAAUGCAUGAGUUGGAAAGUUACUCUCAUUAGAAGGUGGGCACGGGUAGCUAAUCCGCUCUUCCUCCUUUUGUUCUCCGCUCUCCUCAUCAUCUUUUUCAUCCAAGGAGCUCACAGUUUCAUCAAUUUCUUCUUCCAUAGAUUCCUGCAAAAUAUUAGUCUCUUCUGGGACAACGGAGUAGUCCUCAAUAUAUGGUUCAACAUAAGCAUUGAAGCAUAAUUAUCAUAGCAAUAUUUAAGUAUGUCAAAAUUUUCAGAUUUGUAAAGAAUAGCAUCAUACGUUUCAAUCAAAAAAGCAAUUUCAUAAGCACCCUUAAAAGCAAUAAAUUCUUUAAUUUGUUGAACAUCAUAGUAAAUAUAAACACCCUUGGCAUACGAAGAUACAAUUCCAUUAUCAAUAAACUCACAUUGGUAGGAAAGGUGUUUCUUAGGGUUUUCAGAACAACAAAUAAUAUCAUAUAUUUCACAUAAAUUCCAAGCAUAGCAUUGCAAACGAUGAAUUUGACCCAGUAAAAGUUUCCCUUUUUCAGAUAUACGGUGUCGCACAUAACAAGCAUGCUCAUCUAAAGAUUUGCCCUCAACUAAGCUAGUUGGGGUUUCAGCACGAGCACAUAGGGAUCAAAGAUGAUUCAAGUAAUAAACUUCAGGAGUGUGGUAGAUUUUGAGUGGUUCUUCAACCAUUGGUUCAGUAGGUACAACUAAUUUUUUUGGUAUUUUGCGUUUCCUACCCAUAACUAAAGAUAGAAAACAAUUAAGAACAGCAAAUAAAAAUUACUUAGUGAUAAAGCAAGCAAGCACACACGAGAAUAUUCACCCCAUGCUAUUGCUCCCCGGCAACGGCACCAGAAAAAGGUCUUGAUAACCCACAAGUAUAUAGGGGAUCGCAACAGUUUUCGAUAAGUAAGACUGUCGAACCCAACGAGGAGCUAAAGGCAGAACAAAUAUUUCCUCAAGUUCUAUCGACCACCGAUACAACUCUACGCACGCUUGAUGUUCGCUUUACCUAGAACAAGUAUGAAACUAGAAGUACUUUGUAGGUGUUUUUGGAUAGGUUUGCAAGAUAAUAAAGAGCAUGUAAAUAAAAAGUAGGGGCUGUUUAGGUAAAGACACAACUAGGUUAGUUUUAAUAUAGAGCUUUUUGUUACGAGAAAGUUAUUUGUUCCUAAGCAAUAGAUAACUAGACCGGUAAUCAUUAUUGCAAUUUUAUAUGAGGGAGAGGCAUAAACUAACAUACUCUCUCUACUUGGAUCAUAUGCACUUAUGAUUGGAACUCUAGCAAGCAUCCGCAACUACUAAAGUUCAUUAAGGUAAAACCCAACCAUAGCAUUAAAGCAUCAAGUCCUCUUUAUCCCAUACGCAACAAUCCCCUUACUCGGGUUUGUGUUUCAGUCACUCACGCAACCCACUAUAAGCGAAUCAUGAACGUAUUGCAACACCCUACAACGGGGAUCCCUCACGCUUGCACGACACGGAGAGCACCAUAGGACAGCACCAAUAGAAAAACAUGCAACUCAAACCAAUCACGAUCAUCAAAUAACCCAUAGGACAAAACGGAUCUACUCAAACAUCAUAGAAUAACCAUACAUCAUUGAGAAAUAAUAUAUAGCGUUGAGCACCAUAUUUAAGUAGAGAUUACAACGGGUAAAAGAGGGGUUACACCACUGCAUAGAGGGAGGAAUAGUUGGUGAUGAUGGCGGUGAAGUUGUUGGUGAAGAUUGCGGUGAUGAUGAUGGUCCCCGGUGGCACUCCGGUGCCACCGGAAGCGAGGGGGAGAGAGCCCCCCUCCUUCUUCUUCUUCCUUGACCUCCUCCCUAGAUGGGAGAAGGGUUUUCCCUCUGGUCCAUGGCUCCAUGGCGUGGGAGGGGCGAGAGCCCCUCCGAGAUUGGAUCUGUCUUCUCUGUUUUUGCGUUCUCAAAUUCUACCCUUUCAUCGUUUCUUAUAUUGCCGGAGAUCCAUAACUCCGAUUGGGCUGAAAUUUUAACACGAUCUCUAUCCGGAUAUUAGUUUUCUUACGGCGAAAGAAGGGCAUCAACCGCCUUACGGGGUGGCCACGAGGGUCAGGGGCGCGCCCCUGCCUCGUGGCCCCCUCGAGUAUCGUCUCGCGUGGAUUUUUCUUCACAAAAAUCAUAUGUAUUCCAAAAAAAAUCUCCGUCAAUUUUUAUUCCGUUUGGACUCCGUUUAAUAUGGAUAUUCUGUGAAACAAAAAAACAUGCAACAAACAGGAACUGACACUGGACACUGGAUCAAUAUGUUAGUCCCAAAAAUAGUAUAAAAUUGCCAAAAAUAUAUAAAAGUUGUAGAAUAUUGGCAUGGAACAAUCAAAAAUUAUAGAUACAACGGAGACGUAUUAGGGCAGGCCGGUGCUUCGGCGCACGGUGGCGCGACUCUGAUGGAGAUGGCGCGGCGUCGGGGGUUGCGGGCGGUGGCGGCCUCGUCGGCCGAUGUGCUGCAGCAUGAUGACAGGGGUUGUCCGGAUCCUUCGAGGUCCGGCCAGGCCUAUGCGGGCCUGAUAAGCUCCUGUCGUCCCAUCCGGUCGGCUCCACGACAGCGAUGGUGGUAGUCCCCACCCGUCGACUGAGUGGCGAAUGCCCCCGAGCCCGUUGGCUCUUCGUCCCUUUCCCAGGUCUCGUGUCGGUGGCUCAGAGAGGCGGCAUUGAUGGUUCGAUGACCGUGAUGGCACAUGUUGAUGGGCGGCAGUUUUGAUGGUGCACUUCUGAUUGUUUGGGGUGGUGGUGGUCGUUUGGGUGGGAGAAAUCCCUGGUGGCUCGUCCAUCAUCAACGCGAUGACACCGUCAUACCUUCCCUUCCCAUUGCCCUCUACGUACAGAAAGAAAAACCCUUGGACUUGUUCGGACAACAAUGGCGUCGUUGUCGCAUUCCUUCCUGAAGAUGCUGCCCAGUACGUGACGCCUCGACCUUCCCUUCCCAUUGCCCUCUACGUACAGAAAGAGAAACCCUUGAACUUGUUCGGACAACAAUGGCGUCGUUGUCGCAUUCCUUCCUGAAGAUGCUGCCCAGUACGUGACGCCUCGAAGUGCUAGAAGCGCGGCUGCAGUGGCGUCAUCGUCACAUUCCUUCCUGAAGGUACUGCUCAGUGACAUUCCUUCCUUCCUGAAGGUACUACUGCUCAGUACGCGAUGCCUCGAGGUGCUAGAAGUACGGUGGUACUGGUACUUCUUCGGAGGAUGCAGCGGUUACGCACCCGGCCAUCUUUGUUUUGUCGAUAUGUGGUUGUUGGCAUUUAUUUCUCUCUUUAUCUCAUUUUUUUUUCUUUCUUGGAAACCCCUUUUUCUUACAAGGGAUAUAUGCCAGUUCUAUUUAGGGUUCAUGUUUGAAGUGUAAUUUGCUGUCUGACACAAUCCAACGCAAUCCAGGAGAGAGUAGCUCUCUAUGUCCGACACCGUCUGGUCUGAUAUAGGCGCAGGCAGGUGAACAUUUUGAUUAUUGAGAACACAGAAAUGUCAGCACACAGCUGAGCCUUAAACACUCGUCCUAGCGAAUUUCUCCUCGCACACAAGCAGCACGAGCACAAGCAAAUCAAGUCAGCACGCACGCACGCACAUAUAAGCUUCUUGCAGAAUAAGCUUACAACCAGUACUAAUUUCACAUCACAGCGAACUUCAGUAGCAGCCUGACACCUCAUGGCGACCAAACAAAGCGAACUAAACACUGAACAUCUACCAUAAUCCAAAUUAUUGAUUCCCACCUAGCAAUCUAGACUUUCAUCCUAGGUCGCGUGCUUGUCGUCCUUGAGAUGGCGCGCCUUCUCCUUCUCCUUCACCUCCGAUCCCUGCGACUUGUCAUACUCUGCGCACAUGAAAACGCGGAUCAAUUCACCACUCGCACCAUGCCACCAUCACAGAU